rnacentral:rRNA from 1 species
AGUGAACGCUGGCGGUAGGCCUAACACAUGCAAGUCGAACGGCAGCACAGUAAGAGCUUGCUCUUACGGGUGGCGAGUGGCGGACGGGUGAGGAAUACAUCGGAAUCUACUUUUUCGUGGGGGAUAACGUAGGGAAACUUACGCUAAUACCGCAUACGACCUACGGGUGAAAGCAGGGGAUCUUCGGACCUUGCGCGAUUGAAUGAGCCGAUGUCGGAUUAGCUAGUUGGCGGGGUAAAGGCCCACCAAGUCGACGAUCCGUAGCUGGUCUGAGAGGAUGAUCAGCCACACUGGAACUGAGACACGGUCCAGACUACUACGAGAGGCAGCAGUGGGGAAUAUUGGACAAUGGGCGCAAGCCUGAUCCAGCCAUACCGCGUGGGUGAAGAAGGCCUUCGGGUUGUAAAGCCGUUUUGUUGGGAAAGAAAAGCAGCAGGUUAAUACCCCGCUGUUCUGACGGUACCCAAAGAAUAAGCACCGGCUAACUUCGUG